rnacentral:rRNA from 1 species
CUGGCGGCAGGCUUAACACAUGCAAGUCGAACGAGCUGGGGCCUUCGGGUCCCGAUGCUAGUGGCGCACGGGUGAGUAACACGUGGGAAUAUGCCCUUUAGUACGGAAUAACCAAGGGAAACUUUGGCUAAUACCGUAUACGCCCUUCGGGGGAAAGAUUUAUCGCUAAAGGAUUAGCCCGCGUAAGAUUAGCUUGUUGGUGGGGUAAAGGCCUACCAAGGCGACGAUCUUUAGCUGGUCUGAGAGGACGAUCAGCCACACUGGGACUGAGACACGGCCCCAGACUCC